AAUACCAUGCCUAUCAGCAAGAAGCUCCCAAUUUUAGAGAGGUAACCAGAUCUGAAGGGGAAUUAUUUUGCCUGAGUUCAGGACAAGGUAGAAAGAGAUGGUCACGUUUGAUGAGCUUUAAAGGGUUAUUAAAGAUUCCUCAUGUAAAUGAACAGUGGCAAAAAGUAGUCUCAGUAGGGAAAAUAGCAUGAGUAAGAUCAGUGUAGAUGGAACAUAAAAGACUUCAAAUGCAUUUCUAGGAAAUGAGAAUGGUAGUUACUUGGAUUUUGAAAAACAUCAUAGUAGGGUUAGCUUUUAUUCUGUGGGAGCCAUUGGUUUUUAAUCUUCGAGAAAAGACUGAAGUGGAGAAGAUGGAGUAAAAGGUUUAGUAGGAGUGCCACGUUCAUUGCUACUUAUUUUUCAUUCUUUGGCCAUCUUGUCCUUUUUCCUACCUUAAUGGAAAAAGUGAGAACUCAUUAUAUUGAAUAUUGAUGUUGCCUAGGGUGGUGACAGGAGUCAGAAAGAAGAGGAAGGCUGUGAGCUAGGUGUACAAACCAUUAAUAAAUAUGAUACAGAAGAGUUAACCUGAAUAUGAGUAGGAUAAUACCAAAAGGGGAAGAAAUUAUUGGGGAUAGGGUGAGGAAUAGAGAUUAUUAGAGAGUCAGGAAGACAGCAGUCAUGGGAUGUGAGGGGCAUAGGAAGUUGAGUAGCUUUUCCUUGGAAAGUAUUAGAUGUUUGGGGAGAGCCAAGUUUAAAGUGUUGUUAGGUUCACUCGUGUUAAACACCUAUUUCCACAUAUAUUGUUGAGUAGACUGUAAGCACUUGAGGGCAGGUACCCUCUCUGUCGUGUUUUCUGUUGUAUUUUCUAGUGUUACUCUUUUAAUAUUUACUAAAUAAGUUAAUGAACAAACUAGGACCUGUUCCAUCUUUGUAUCUCCUGUUCCUUCAUGAAGUUGGCACUCAACAGUUGUCUGUUGAAAGGAAUCUCUAAAACUAAUACUAGCAGUGAAAUGGAAAGCAUCAUGGUUUAUAUCCAUAAACUGCAGAGAUGUGUUUUGUCUUCUGUAUGUAGGGUAAUACUUCUACCUAUCCAAGGUAGUUACUGAAUCUGACCACUGUUUACGCAGAGUCUGUUUCACCAAUUUAAAAGUACAGGAUAAUUUUGGGGCUGUAUGCAUCUGAUUUUUUGAGAAUGGAGUUUGUCAGCUUACUAGAUACCAGAUCCUGUGACCUUGUACAACUAUGGGUUCUUUUCCCCCAUAGUACUCAAGAGAACAAAAAUCUAAUUGCCAUAUUGCCAUACUUUGUAUAGGUUUUAUUACUUAUUCUGUCAGUGUCCCCAUUGUUCAACUUAGCUAUGGUACUAAUGCUAUAAUGGCUUUUAAUGUAUAUCUUAUUAUAACCAUUGGCAAUGGAGUAGUUUACAAAUGAUAAUUCUUACUGUCAUUCUGUGGUAUACUGCUUUUUUCUUUCUGUUUCCCUUUUUUUUCAACCAGUAGGUAUAAAGCUACAAUUUUUAAUGGCAUUACUUUGUACUCAUAAAGAAAUCCCUAUUUUCUAAGAUAUGUUUUUUUAAAUACACCUUAUGCCAAAUUUAGAUGAAUUUUUUUAUUUACCUGAACAUGUAGCAAAUUUUCUUCAUGUUUAGAAUUAUGAAAAUGCGUUGUCCUAAUUCCAUUUCGUGCCCCUCCUUUGAACCUCACGACUUCUCUAGUGCUACUCAUGGUAUCCUACUUUGUAUUGAGGUCAUUUGAAUGCUACUGUUGUAAGUUCCUCUUUUGUCCUUUCUCCCAUAGAGAUUAUAAAGUGGCCAAAUGCAUUUUGUAUCCCCCACAGUGCCUAGCAUCCUGCUUUGCUUGUUGGAAGUAAUCAUUAAAUAUUUGAUUGUCAAUUUGAGGAAAGAUUUUAUGUAGUCUUUUGAAUUAAGAACUUCACUUUGGACACUUAAAGAGUGGGGGGAAUAUUGCCACUAGGAAUGAAUUUGAUUUUGAAAUUGCAAUUUGUGUGCUCUUUGCAAAAUGCUUAAACUUACAUUACUAACUAUAUAUACAUUAGUAAAUUACUUCCAGAAGAAUCUUCUGAUAUCAGUCAAGAAAAGUUUCCCCUGCAGUGGCUGUCUUGUUAAUAAUACUGGUAUGAUUACUCUGAUCAAGAUUGCCACCUUUUUUCUAAAAGGUUAGUGCAAAUAACAACAAUCUUGUCAAUCUAGAAAAUAUCAAGAGGGCAGUGAAUUUUUUAUCAUUCAGGAAUCACUUGUCAUUAGUGAAUUCUUAAAAGUUUUAAAUAUCUACAGCAGUUCAGUUUAAUUCUCUUAACCUCAGUAGAAGCUUGCUUUGAAAUACAGAAUCUUAAGGUGAUUAUCUACAAUAUGAGAGAGCAACAUCUAUUCACUGAACUUGUAUUGCAAAUACUAAUAAUAGGAGGAUGGCUGCAUUGCAAGGUCCACAAAGUAUGGAGUAAAAGAAUUCCUUCUAGUUACAGAGAUAUUUCUGUUCUAUGAGGAAAAGAAAGCAAGAAUCAAAUGGAAAUUGAGAGUUAAUAAAAUACUGUAUAAAAUAUGUGGACAUGUGUAUGUAUAUGUGUUUUAUGUCACUUGUUCCUCAACAUUUAAAGCACUUAGGAAUUUUCUGGUACUCUUGUUAAAAUGCAGAUUCUGGUUCAGUAGAUCUUAGGCCCCAAGAUUGUGCAUUUCUAACAAGCUCCCAGAGGAUGAUGAUGUUGAUGAUCAUCAUCAUCUGGACUAUGAUACUGCUCUGCGGAACACACUUCGAGUAGCGAGAUUCAAAUAUGUAUGUGAAUAAUAUUACAAAUAUGUAAUACAAAUAGUACUAUAAUAGUAGCAAAUGCUUCUAUGACAUUUAAUGUGGGCUAGGCAUUGUUCUAAGCAUUUUGUGUAUGUUAACUCAUUUUAUCUGCACAGCAGUUCCUUCAAGUAGGUGCUAUUAUUAAAGCUAUUUUAUAAAAACGAUAAUGCAGAGAAAUUAAAUUGUUCAAGGUCGCACAUUUCACUAAGUAUGGAUUUGUGAUUUGAAUCAGGCAGAUGGGCUUUUCAGCAUCUAUACUCCUGUACUGCCACUGUUCAGUAUAUCUGACUGUUAUAAAAAGUAGCAAAACAUUGCACUAUCUCUUUUUAAUAUUUUAAAUUGUGGAUUCUUGGAGUAUGGAGAAGAGUUGUAAAGCUCUUUUCAGACUAUUUGUGUUGGGUUAGAAGAACUGUCUUCUGGACUCCGUGACUUAGCUCCAUAGAAAUUCACUGCUGUAUAAGCCACUUUUAUUGAUAGGUUUAUGUUGCAUCGCUCUGGUGCGAUGAAGUGAAAAUAUUUUUGAGAUCUUCAGGAAUAAUUCUUUAAUGGUAUUUCUUGGAAAAAUAGGAUUUAUGUAGUGGUGCAAAUUUGUAAAGUGAAAAGCCCCCAGAUCACAUAUGCAGGACUCUGAAAAAAUUCAAAUGUUAUAAAUGGGUACUUAAAUGUUAUUUUUAAUCAUGGUAAAUGUUGCAUGUUUAUGUAAAUACUCUGGUUUCAUGAGAUGAAAAAAACAAUAUGUUUUAGAAUUUAGAUCCAGGAAGGUACAUAGCAGACACCCGGUGGCUCUCAUUUACUUUAAAACAAUGGAAAACCCCUCUUUUAAAAUCAUACAAAACCAAUAGAAAUCAUGUUUCAUCAGGGGAAAUGGAGCCUGCCCUGCGUGGUACUCAGGCAUCUUAGCGGAGCUGAUCUAUCUAAUCAACCCCAGUCACAUUGCAGCUAAGAGCUACUGACCCAGGGUCCGCCUCCUUGUCAAUCCAUGAAGAUACUUGGAUGUGAAAACUCAAGGGCAAACUCAUGUCUGCUGGCUUUUCCAGUCAUCCUUCUUUCAUUCUCAUCUUCCCUUGACCAGUAAUUUGAUUGAUUUGAGGGUGUGUUUUUUGCAACUUGGACAUUAAUUCAUUGGUGAAUAUGUUUUAUUACGACAUUGGAAAAUAAAAGUAUCCUUUUGACUUA